GUGCAGCAGGCGCGAAACCUCCGCAAUGCGAGCAAUCGCGACGGGGGGACCCCAAGUGCCACUCCUAACGGGGUGGCUUUUCAUAAGUGUAAAAAGCUUUUGGAAUAAGAGCUGGGCAAGACCGGUGCCAGCCGCCGCGGUAACACUGACAGCUCAAGUGGUGGCCGUUUUUAUUGGGCCUAAAGCGUUCGUAGCCGGUUUGAUAAGUCUCUGGUGAAAUCCUACAGCUUAACUGUGGGAAUUGCUGGAGAUACUAUCAGACUUGAGGUCGGGAGAGGUUAGAGGAACUCCCAGGGUAGGGGUGAAAUCCUAUAAUCCUGGGAGGACCACCUGUGGCGAAGGCGUCUAACUGGAACGAACCUGACGGUGAGUAACGAAAGCCAGGGGCGCGAACCGGAUUAGAUACCCGGGUAGUCC
rnacentral:rRNA from 1 species